CAGUUCUCACCGAACAUGGGAGGAGCUCAAUGAGCAAGUUCGAAGUCUUCUAUCAACACCAAAAGCUGUACGUCGACUUGUCUUUGGGGCCACAGGGGCUGAGAUAGAUGAAGUUUUAGCAAGGAGGUCAAUUUCUCCAGGUCCACCCUGAUACCUGGUCAGUCCGGAGAGGUUGGAUGGUGCCGCUUUGUCGCUGAAAGAAGACAACUGCAUCCUUCAUUAAACUCUUGAACCUCUGCUGGUGUUUACAUGCAUUUUAGAUUACUUAUCAACUAUUAGUAGCGGUUUGAGAAAUGACACCACAGAAAUAAUGUGUUUUAUUUUUGAAAUAAAGUCGUCUGUACUGAACCUCUGAGCUCAGAGGCUUAGUUUUACCAUCUUUCAAGCUGACAUUGUGGAGUCCUCGGCUAAAUCAACCACAGGCCAUUAAAAGCAAAUUGGCUCCGUGGCAGCGGUGCUUAAUGUGAGCUACUGCAGGAUAUUACAAAAAUGGCUGAUAGUUCUAAUGGGGAAGCAAUAAACUUUAGCUGUAUGAGGAAAAUUAGGAUCUGUUGGAGAACAUGUCUCGCAUCCUUGCUCUGUU